GAGUUUGAUUAUGGCUCAGGAUGAACGCUGGCGGCAUGCCUAACACAUGCAAGUUGAACGAGAAGUUCUGGAGGGAGUCUUCGGACGAACGAAGGAAUGGAAAGUAGCGAACGGGUGAGUAACGCGUGGGCAACCAACCUUGCACAGGGGGAUAACGCAGAGAAAUUUGCGCUAAUACCGCAUAAGCGCACAGUACCGCAUGGUACGGUGUGAAAAACUCCGGUGGUGUAAGACGGGCCCGCGUCUGAUUAGUUAGUUGGUGAGGUAAAAGCUCACCAAGGCGACGAUCAGUAGCCGACCUGAGAGGGUGAUCGGCCACAUUGGGACUGAGACACGGCCCAAACUCCUACGGGAGGCAGCAGUGGGGGAUAUUGCACAAUGGAGGAAACUCUGAUGCAGCAAUGCCGCGUGAAGGAAGACGGUUUUCGGAUUGUAAACUUCUAUCAGCAGGGAAGAAAAUGACG
rnacentral:rRNA from 1 species